CUCUGACUGCCUUUUGAAAUCAAAUACAUUUCCUGCCUCUUCUUUCCUCAGUACUCACACCAGCAGCUUAUUUAUAGCACAGGAAAGGGGAAAAAAACAGCGCUCCACUGGAGGCCGGAAAACUAAGUAGGGAAAGAAUAGGAGGAAGUGAGCCUGCCAUUUAGCCAAACAACCUCUACUUCAUUGAGCUCAAAGCCUAGCCCCUUCAAGGUAGUGGUUGUUGGGCAUAAAUUGGCUUGCAAUUCUCUUUCUUUCUUCUUCUGCUUUUUAUUUUCUUUGUUUUUACCCUUCACUUUUGAACUGUACUUGAGCAAUGGAAGGGAUAGCCGCUCUUCCAGGGAGAGCAAAGCAAUCACUAGGUGUUCAGGCACAUUGAACAGAGACUUUCAAGAACCUGCUGGAAGAAAGAGGAUCCACUCCUGUUGUUGAACAUCUAUUGACGACGUGACUGCGGAUUCAGGAGUGGACAACCAGGUUUAAUGAAACGAUUAGGCAAAAAAAUCAUUUGCCCACCACCUCUGAUGUUCUGCUAAACUUGUCUUCUUAGUGAACCCAUCAUGAUUUACAGGUAAGAAAAUUCUCUUGCAAGAGCAUUAGGUCCUCAUUAGCUGGCUUCUACUCAGUUAAAGGUCUCCUCUAUGUUCUCCCAGGAAGUCCUAUGUAAAGAGCAAAGAGCUCAAAGGAUCUCUAUAUAUCAGUGGUUCUCCCCUCAGCCAAUAGAUGUGGAGUAGAAUUGUAAUUAGUUAGCUGGGUUUAGUAAUCUGAUAAGUCUAGUGAAGAGAAAAAGCAGCUAACGGUUUGACAUUGUUUGGAACAGGUAACUGACUUUGUUUGGAAUUGUGUACAAUUUUGAGCACAUGGGGUGGUAUCCAAAUAAUAUAGGUAUUUUAUUAUCAUAGCCCUGGUGCAAACAUCCACACACAUAUCUCUCCCUCCCUCCCUCCAUCCAUCCUUCUCUCCAUUCAUCCACUCAUUCACUCACUUAGAAGAUGUAAACAAUAGCAUUAUCUUCUAGGCGAGGCCAGGAGACUGUGGUGUGAUCCCGAGGCAGUGUGGUGGACUCAGGUGAAGCUACAAUGUGAGGAUGGAGAGGUGGGACAGGGGAAGUACCGGGCUCACAUAGGGCAUCAGGGGAGUUGGGUUUCUACUCUUUGAGUCUUAGGAAGUUCAAACCAUGCCCCCCUCCUCAUGUACUUAGCUACAUGUUUUGAGGGGAAGAAUAUAUUUCAGUAUUUAUUUAUUUUUCUCAUUGUCUCUGAACCAGGCUUGCAUUUUCUGCUUUGAAAUUCAACCGAACAGAUGCUGGACUAGAAAAUAAAUCAUACAUCUGAAAUUUGUCUGCUCCUAGACUGAUUCUUGGGGAAAAUGCUCAGAGAUGGUUCAGAGAAAUUAAAGUUGUAUAUUGCUUUCAAGAGCUAAAAGAAUCUUGGGAACAUCAGGGACAUCCUGAAGGAUAGCAUCAGGUUCAGAUCCACCGAGCCAACAUAUCUGCUAGUCUCUGGGUAGGGGUAAUGUCCUCACAGAUUAAUGAACAUUGCUGUGGAAUCAGACUUUAGAAUAAGACUAUUGGCAGAAAACUAAGGAAGGUGUCUUGUGCCAUGAAUGACAAAUUUUAUUUCUCAUGGUUUGCAGAGCUCAGCGAUAGCCAAGGUUCAAGAGCCACCCAGAGGGAGAAUGUUUUAAGAGAAAAAUACAACCAUAAAGAUAAAUUUAAACAAAUUAAAGUGAAUAAUACAAUUACGCUAAGGGUAGCAUUUAUAAAAGUGAGUGAGAAUUUCCACAGAGGGGAAAAGGAGGAGAGCAGGAACCAGGACAAGACAGAGAACUGAGAGGAGAAUUCUGCUGUCAGGACUUGGCGAACUUGAGAGUUUCUCCAAGAGGAGCUGUGGGGGCUGGGUGCAGAGAACAAUUCUGAUGGAGGCUGUUCCCCUCAUUUUGUCUGCUAUUAACAUGAUUUCCAAUUCGUCUGUGCAUUGUGUUCCAAAGAUGUACCUGGAGAUGGGCUGUUUGGAACUUAUCUGUGUUUACCCCAUAGAAUCCAUUUGUUCAUGGAGAGAACAUUAUAAUUUUCCUUUCAUGCCUGCCUACCACACAGACACUUUUUUUAUUAACUUGAGUAUUUCUUAUUUACAUUUCGAAUGUUAUUCCCUUUCCCAGUUUCCAGGCCAACAUCCCCCUAACUCCUCCCCUCCCCUUCUAUAUGGGUGUUCCCCUC
ensembl:lncRNA